GGGAAGCAGGGCUUUGAAGUGCACAACAUUGCUGGUGGUGCAGGUAUAACAAGCAGCCGAUUCCAGACAGCUGUAUUUCUGGAGAAAAGGGCACGUUAAAGCAAAAUAUCACAGCUGUAAUCAGCAAGUGAUUCAGGGAAUAAUGUUAUUUAUGGCUUGCCUCUAUGCAUAUUUGACUCAAGAGUGAUUUGUUUUUCUUAUUGUCACUUCUUUCAAUUACAUACUGCCUUUGUCUUCCAAGGAUCUCAAGGUGGUGUUCAUGGUUCUCCUCCUUCCCAUUUCAUCCUCACAACAACUCUGUGAGGGAGGUUUAGGCUAAGAGAUGGUGACUGGCCCAAGGUCACCCAAUGAGCUUCAUGACUGAAUGGGGAUAUGAACCCUGGUCUCCCAGGUCCAACACUCUAAUCAUUACGCCACACUGUUACAAAAGCUUGUACAGUGUGUGCAAUAUUAUGAUGUUACAAUAGCAUCAUACUAUUGCAGCUUCAAGACCAUUAGUAACAACCCAAAGGUGUCAUAGCAUAUACAAAGCAAGCAAACAAACAAAGAAACAAACAAAGAAACAAACAAACAAACAGUAGAUAAUAAGAGGAAGAAAUGGUAACAAACCAGUAUAAAUCCAGACAUCCAUAUUUCCCAAACUGGCAUGGAUGGUGAAUUUCAGGCAUCCAAGGCUAAAGCAUAAGAAACACCAGAUGACAUAAAAGUGAUCCAUCCUUCUGGAGACACAUAAUUUAUUUGUGUGUUUUUUUCUACAACCGCCAAGGUCCCUAAGCUCUUAUACAACAAAGACAGAUGUAGAUUUUUCAUGUUUUUCCAUUGUUGGGCUAUUGAAAUCCAAGCUGCAGCUAACAUCCAUGUUGCAAGCUCGUUCAUAUUAUUGGUCUACAUAUUCAGUCGUGACAGUUGUGGGGAGGCCUAAACAGGUGAUUAUUAUUUUUUUUAAAUAGACAUUUCUUGGUAUACUUGAGACCAGAAUAAUGAAACCAAAGGCUGAUUGAAUGCAGAGGGAUUUAUUCUAAACAUAUUAUAUAGCCUGCUCACUGUUUAAUCACAAAGACUGAUAUUUGUAUGUUAUGAAAAGCAAAAGGCAAACAACACAGCACAUCCCCCAAAAGAAACACAUCACCCAAAGAAAAGAUGCACACACACACUCAUAUCACACCAGUUCCUGUGGUUUGUGGUAGAAAGUACAGUUCAUGUAUUUCUAUUUAAAUAACAACAGCAACAGCAGCAACAACAACAACAACAACAGAUUUGUGCAAAGUGCUAAUGAGAAUUUUUAUUAUCUCAGUGUGUUUAAGCUGGUGGCAGCCAAGUCAGCAAAAUUUUUAGCAUCUGCCAUUAAAAUAAGGGCCGCUGUGGUGCUCUCUGAGACUAUAAUUUUUAAUCUGACAAUUUUAUUUGUUCAGUUGUGCCAUUAUGUUUGAUGUUGUUCUCUUUAUAUGAAUUGCAAGGGCUGGUGGCUGAUGCAGAUCCAUUUCUAUCCUUCUACCGAUAGACUCCCCUUCAUGGAUCACUGCCUUGCUGUGGCGAAGGGGCUUGAAUAACUCAGAGAAGCUCUGAGCUAUGCCGUGCAGGGCCACCCAAGACGGACAGGUCAUAGUGGAGAGUUUUGACCAAAUGUGAUCCACCUGGAGCAGGAACCAGCAAGCCACUCCAGUAUCCCUGCCAAGAAAACUCCAUGGACAAAGACAAAUGGCAUAUAAAAGUUAUGACGCUGGAAGAUGAGCCCCUCAGGUCGGAAGGCGUCCAACAUGAUACUGAGGAAGAGCGGAGGACAAGUACAAGUAGAUCCAGAGCUGAUGAAGCGGCUGGGCCAAAGCCGAAAGGACGCUCAGUUGCGGAUAUGCCUGGAAGUGAAAGGAAAGUCCAAUGCUAUAAAGAAAAAUAUUGCAUAGGAACCUGGAAUGUAAGAACCAUGAACCUUGGUAAGUUGGAUGUGGUCAAAAAUGAGAUGGCAAGAAUAAAUAUUGACAACCUGGGCAUCAGUGAACUAAAAUGGACGGGAAUGGGCGAAUUCAGUUCAGAUGACCAUCAUAUCUACUACUGUGGGCAAGAAUCCCGUAAAAGAAAUGGAGUGGCCCUCAUAGUCAACAAAAGAGUGGCAAAAGCUGUACUGGGAUGCAAUCUCAAAAAUGAUAGAAUGAUCUCGAUACGAAUCCAAGGCAGACCUUUUAACAUCACAGUAAUCCAAGUUUAUGCACCAACCACUGGUGCUGAAGAAACUGAAAUUGACCAAUUCUAUGAAGACUUACAACACCUUAUAGAAAUGACACUAAAGAAGGAUGUUCUUCUCAUUAUAGGGGAUUGGAAUGCUAAAGUAGGGAGUCAAGAGAUAAAAGGAACAACUGGCAAGUUUGGCCUUGGAAUUCAAAAUGAAGCAGGGCAAAGGCUAAUAGAGUUCUGCCAAGAGAACAAGCUGGUCAUCACAAACACUCUUUUCCAAAAACACAAGAGACGACUCUACACAUGGACAUCACCAGAUGGGCAGCAUCGAAAUCAGAUUGAUUAUAUUCUCUGUAGCCAAAGAUGGAGAAGCUCUAUACAGUCAGCAAAAACAAGACUUGGAGCUGACUGUGGCUCAGAUCAUCAGCUUCUUAUAGCAAAAUUCAAGCUUAAACUGAAGAAAGUAGGAAAAACCACUGGGCCGGUAAGAUACAACCUAAGUCAAAUCCCUUAUGAAUACAUAGUGGAAGUGAGGAACAGGUUUAAGGAUUUAGAUUUGGUGGACAGAGUGCCUGAAGAACUAUGGAUGGAGGCUCGUAACAUUAUACAGGAGGCAGCAACUAAAACCAUCCCAAUGAAAAGGAAAGGCAAGAAAGCAAAGUGGCUGUCCAACGAGGCCUUAAAAAUAGCGGGGGAGAGAAGGCAAGCAAAAUGCGAGGGAGAUAAUGAAAGAUACAGGAAAUUGAAUGCAGAUUUCCAAAAAAUAGCAAGGAGAGACAAGAAGGCCUUCUUAAACGAGCAAUGCAAAGAAAUAGAGGAAAACAAUAGAAAGGGAAAAACCAGAGAUCUGAUCAAGAAAAUUGGAGAUAUGAAAGGAACAUUUCGUACAAAGAUUACCAUAAUAAAAGACAAAAGUGGAAAGGACCUAACAGAAGCAGAAGACAUCAAGAAGAGGUGGCAAGAAUACACAGAGGAAUUAUACCAGAAAGAAAUGGAUGUCUCGUACACCCCAGGUAGUGUGGUUGCUGACCUUGAGCCAGACAUCCUGGAGAGUGAAGUCAAGUGGGCCUUAGAAAGCACUGCUAAUAACAAGGCCAGUGGAAGUGAUGAUAUUCCAGCUGAACUAUUUAAAAUUUUAAACAAUGAUGCUGUCAAGGUGCUACACUCAAUAUGCCAGCAAAUUUGGAAAACUCAGCAGUGGCCAGAGGAUUGGAGAAGAUCAGUCUACAUCCCAAUCCCAAAGAAGGGCAGUGCCAAAGAAUGUUCCAACUACUGCACAAUUGCACUCAUUUCACACGCUAGCAAGGUUAUGCUUAAAAUUCUACAAGGCAGGCUUAAGCAGUAUGUGGACCGAGAACUCCCAGAAGUGCAAGCUGGAUUUCGAAGGGGCAGAGGAACCAGAGACCAAAUUGCAAACAUGCGCUGGAUUAUGGAGAAAGCUAGAGCGUUCCAGAAAGACAUCUACUUCUGCUUCAUUGACUAUGCAAAAGCCUUUGACUGUGUCAACCACAGCAAACUAUGGCAAGUUCUUAAAGAAAUGGGAGUGCCUGAUCACCUCAUCUGUCUCCUGAGAAAUCUCUAUGUGGGACAAGAAGCUACAGUUAGAACUGGAUAUGGAACAACUGAUUGGUUCAAAAUUGGGAAAGGAGUACGGCAAGGCUGUAUAUUGUCUCCCUGCUUAUUUAACUUAUAUGCAGAAUUCAUCAUGCGAAAGGCUGGACUGGAUGAAUCCCAAGCCGGAAUUAAGAUCGCCGGAAGAAAUAUCAACAACCUCAGAUAUGCAGAUGACACAACCUUGAUGGCAGAAAGUGAAGAGGAAUUAAAGAACCUUUUAAUGAGGGUGAAAGAGGAGAGCGCAAAAUAUGGUCUGAAGCUCAACAUCAAAACAAAACAAAACGAAGAUCAUGGCCACUGGUCCCAUCAGCUCCUGGCAAAUAGAAGGGGAAGAAAUGGAGGCAGUGAGAGAUUUUACUUUCUUGGGCUCCAUGAUCACUGCAGAUGGUGACAGCAGUCACGAAAUUAAAAGACGCCUGCUCCUUGGGAGAAAGGCGAUGGCAAACCUAGACAGCAUCUUAAAAAGCAGAGACAUCACCUUGCCAACAAAGGUCCGUAUAGUUAAAGCCAUGGUUUUCCCAGUAGUGAUGUAUGGAAGUGAGAGCUGGACUAUCAAGACGGCUGAUCGCCGAAGAAUUGAUGCUUUUGAAUUAUGGUGCUGGAGGAGACUCUUGAGAGUCCCAUGGACUGCAAGAAGAUCAAACGUAUCCAUUCUUAAGGAAAUCAGCCCUGAGUGCUCACUGGAAGGACAGAUCGUGAAGCUGAGGCUCCAAUACUUUGGCCACCUCAUGAGAAGAGAAGACUCCCUGGAAAAGACCCUGAUGUUGGGAAAGAUCACAAGGAGAAGGGGACGACAGAGGAUGAGAUGGUUGGACAGUGUUCUCGAAGCUACAAACAUGAGCCUGACCAAACUGCGGGAGGCAGUGGAAGACAGAAGUGCCUGGCGUGCUCUGGUCCAUGGGGUCACGAAGAGUCGGACAUGACUAAACGACUAAACAACAACAACAAACCAAUAGACUCUAAAACUAUAAGUAUUCUGAGUCACGGCUACAAUAUGUGAACUGUGUACCCAGAAGAACAGACGUGAAUAGAAAAUAUAACAGAAUCAUACCCUAAGGCUGCAUUCUUAUAUUCACUUGGGAGUAAGCCCAACUGAAUGCAAUGGGGCUUACUUCUGAGAAGAUAUGAAUGGGAUUUCUCUGUAAAACACCGGUGCAUCACCUCUUCAUACAAAGUCAGAUGUAUAAACAGAAUUUAAACAAUUCAAAGCUCAGGUCAUUGGUUUUGCAUAUGAACUUAUUUCUGAAUGUGCAUAUGAACAUCACACAUUGCACGGCAUGAUGAUAUCUACUACAAGUAAUACCAAAGGGCACUGGCACUCCUAAAAUAUGUAAGAUUCCUGCUGAGCUAGAAUGAAUGAGAGAAUUAUUCAACAGGUUUCCAAAUCUGUGCUUAAAACUGAUUAUUUGAAUCAAAUCUAUUCUUGUCAGACAGAGAGGAAGAUGAACUGGGGAAUCUUUAUCAGUCUCAGGGCUGCAUUCCUGGCCAUAUGUCGGGGGUGAAAAUGGCUAGUGUCAAAGUUACCCUAGCUUCUACACAAGCACAAACCCUUCUCUAGCCUCCAUCUAGGUGGCAACAGGCAUUAUUAGACUUCAGCAUGUCAUGCAGGGCCAGUGAAGGGUCUACAUAAGUGCCUUGUGAAUCAGGCCAAUGGCCCAUCUAGUCCAGCAUCCUCUGCUCACCCAGAUGCCUAUGGGAAACUGGCCUGGGAAAAGUUUCAAGGGCCAGACAGAGAGGCUUGAAUUACUGUAUCCUGAAUGUAUGAAAGGGAAGCAAGAUUCCGCCUGCUGAAACCACCCUUGGCAUCAGCAGUGCCAACUUGGCCCUGUGACCAUGGGUGGCUGGGGCCAUGGGUGCCAUGCUGUGUGCAUGGCCCUGGCACUGACAUUUGUGGGUGCCCAGCCCCUUCAUGGGGAAUUUUGUGGGUGCUCAGGCACCCGGGGCCCCAGGGAGUUGGCACCUAUGCUUGGCAUUCACGUGUCCCCCCUUAGUGUGAAAGAGGCCUGCAUGUCUGUUGGUAUACGUGCAUCAGCUUACUUCCCAUAGUUUGGACCUCUGAUCAUCCAGGAUUCCUGACUGCAUGGGCUAACCUUUCAUGUGCCUAGUUGCAUGUGUAUGGUGAAUAUGGAUGAAUCUGUGGUAGGAAUGUCAACGGACAUUUAAUUCGGACCUGUCUCGAAUUUGGCGGCUGACUGUGUCCUCACCUGUUUCGUGUUGGCCGCAGCACACAAUGCAAAUCUCUGUUCACUCCUCAGUUUACCCACUAUGUCAUUGUCUAAUAUUGGG